rnacentral:rRNA from 1 species
CUACGACCAUAUCACGCUGAAAACACCGGUUCUCGUCCGAUCACCGAAGUUAAGCAGCGUCGAGCUCCGGUUAGUACUUGGAUGGGUGACCGCCUGGGAAUACCGGGUGUUGUAG